GACGAACGCUGGCGGCGUGCUUAACACAUGCAAGUCGAACGGAAAGGCCCUGCUUUUGUGGGGUGCUCGAGUGGCGAACGGGUGAGUAACACGUGAGUAACCUGCCCUUGACUUUGGGAUAACUUCAGGAAACUGGGGCUAAUACCGGAUAGGAGCUCCUGCUGCAUGGUGGGGGAUGGAAAGUUUCGGCGGUUGGGGAUGGACUCGCGGCGUAUCAGCUUGUUGGUGGGGUAGUGGCUUACCAAGGCUUUGACGGGUAGCCGGCCUGAGAGGGUGACCGGCCACAUUGGGACUGAGAUACGGCCCAGACUCCUACGGGAGGCAGCAGUGGGGAAUAUUGCACAAUGGGCGGAAGCCUGAUGCAGCAACGCCGCGUGCGGGAUGACGGCCUUCGGGUUGUAAACCGCUUUCGCCUGUGACGAAGCGUGAGUGACGGUAAUGGGUAAAGAAGCACCGGCUAACUACGUG
rnacentral:rRNA from 1 species